GGGGCAUUAGCUCAGUUGGUAGAGCGAUAGGUUCGCAAUCUAUAGGCCAGGAGUUCGACUCUCCUAUGCUCCA
rnacentral:tRNA from 1 species